rnacentral:rRNA from 1 species
GUCCUCGCUGUAAACGAUGCAUACUUGAUGUAACUGGGCUCAACCCUGGUUGUGUCGAAGCUAACGCGGUAAGUAUGCCGCCUGGGGAGUACGCCCGCAAGGGUGAAACUCAAAAGAAUUGACGGGGCCCGCACAAGCAGUGGAGCAUGUUGUUUAAUUCGAUGCAACGCGAAGAACCUUACCCAGGCUUGACAUAUAGAGGAAGGUAUCAGAGAUGAUGCUGUCCGCAAGGUCUCUAUACAG